UUAAGCGACUAAGCGUACACGGUGGAUGCCCUGGCAGUCAGAGGCGAUGAAGGGCGUGCUAAUCUGCGAUAAGCGCCGGUAAGGUGAUAUGAACCGUUAUAACCGGCGAUACCCGAAUGGGGAAACCCAGUGUGACUCGUCACACUAUCAUUAACUGAAUCCAUAGGUUAAUGAGGCGAACCGGGGGAACUGAAACAUCUAAGUACCCCGAGGAAAAGAAAUCAACCGAGAUUCCCCCAGUAGCGGCGAGCGAACGGGGAGGAGCCCAGAGCCUGAAUCAGCAUGUGUGUUAGUGGAAGCGUCUGGAAAGGCGCGCGAUACAGGGUGACAGCCCCGUACACAAAAGCGCAUGUGCUGUGAGCUCGAUGAGUAGGGCGGGACACGUGGUAUCCUGUCUGAAUAUGGGGGGACCAUCCUCCAAGGCUAAAUACUCCUGACUGACCGAUAGUGAACCAGUACCGUGAGGGAAAGGCGAAAAGAACCCCGGCGAGGGGAGUGAAAAAGAACCUGAAACCGUGUACGUACAAGCAGUGGGAGCACAGGUUUACCUGUGUGACUGCGUACCUUUUGUAUAAUGGGUCAGCGACUUAUAUUCUGUAGCAAGGUUAACCGAAUAGGGGAGCCGGAGGGAAACCGAGUCUUAAUUGGGCGUUAAGUUGCAGGGUAUAGACCCGAAACCCGGUGAUCUAGCCAUGGGCAGGUUGAAGGUUGGGUAACACUAACUGGAGGACCGAACCGACUAAUGUUGAAAAAUUAGCGGAUGACCUGUGGCUGGGGGUGAAAGGCCAAUCAAACCGGGAGAUAGCUGGUUCUCCCCGAAAGCUAUUUAGGUAGCGCCUCGUGAAUUCAUCUCCGGGGGUAGAGCACUGUUUCGGCUAGGGGGCCAUCCCGGCUUACCAACCCGAUGCAAACUGCGAAUACCGGAGAAUGUUAUCACGGGAGACACACGGCGGGUGCUAACGUCCGUCGUGAAGAGGGAAACAACCCAGACCGCCAGCUAAGGUCCCAAAGUCAUGGUUAAGUGGGAAACGAUGUGGGAAGGCCCAGACAGCCAGGAUGUUGGCUUAGAAGCAGCCAUCAUUUAAAGAAAGCGUAAUAGCUCACUGGUCGAGUCGGCCUGCGCGGAAGAUGUAACGGGGCUAAACCAUGCACCGAAGCUGCGGCAGCGACACUGUGUGUUGUUGGGUAGGGGAGCGUUCUGUAAGCCUGUGAAGGUGUGUCGUGAGGCAUGCUGGAGGUAUCAGAAGUGCGAAUGCUGACAUAAGUAACGAUAAAGCGGGUGAAAAGCCCGCUCGCCGGAAGACCAAGGGUUCCUGUCCAACGUUAAUCGGGGCAGGGUGAGUCGACCCCUAAGGCGAGGCCGAAAGGCGUAGUCGAUGGGAAACGGGUUAAUAUUCCCGUACUUGGUGUUACUGCGAAGGGGGGACGGAGAAGGCUAUGUUGGCCGGGCGACGGUUGUCCCGGUUUAAGCGUGUAGGUGUGUGUUCCAGGUAAAUCCGGUUCACUUUAACACUGAGGCGUGACGACGAGGCACUACGGUGCUGAAGCAACAAAUGCCCUGCUUCCAGGAAAAGCCUCUAAGCAUCAGGUAACAUCAAAUCGUACCCCAAACCGACACAGGUGGUCAGGUAGAGAAUACCAAGGCGCUUGAGAGAACUCGGGUGAAGGAACUAGGCAAAAUGGUGCCGUAACUUCGGGAGAAGGCACGCUGACACGUAGGUGAAGUGAUUUACUCAUGGAGCUGAAGUCAGUCGAAGAUACCAGCUGGCUGCAACUGUUUAUUAAAAACACAGCACUGUGCAAACACGAAAGUGGACGUAUACGGUGUGACGCCUGCCCGGUGCCGGAAGGUUAAUUGAUGGGGUCAGCGCAAGCGAAGCUCCUGAUCGAAGCCCCGGUAAACGGCGGCCGUAACUAUAACGGUCCUAAGGUAGCGAAAUUCCUUGUCGGGUAAGUUCCGACCUGCACGAAUGGCGUAAUGAUGGCCAGGCUGUCUCCACCCGAGACUCAGUGAAAUUGAACUCGCUGUGAAGAUGCAGUGUACCCGCGGCAAGACGGAAAGACCCCGUGAACCUUUACUAUAGCUUGACACUGAACAUUGAGCCUUGAUGUGUAGGAUAGGUGGGAGGCUUUGAAGUGUGGACGCCAGUCUGCAUGGAGCCGACCUUGAAAUACCACCCUUUAAUGUUUGAUGUUCUAACGUGGACCCGUUACCCGGGUUGCGGACAGUGUCUGGUGGGUAGUUUGACUGGGGCGGUCUCCUCCUAAAGAGUAACGGAGGAGCACGAAGGUUGGCUAAUCCUGGUCGGACAUCAGGAGGUUAGUGCAAUGGCAUAAGCCAGCUUGACUGCGAGCGUGACGGCGCGAGCAGGUGCGAAAGCAGGUCAUAGUGAUCCGGUGGUUCUGAAUGGAAGGGCCAUCGCUCAACGGAUAAAAGGUACUCCGGGGAUAACAGGCUGAUACCGCCCAAGAGUUCAUAUCGACGGCGGUGUUUGGCACCUCGAUGUCGGCUCAUCACAUCCUGGGGCUGAAGUAGGUCCCAAGGGUAUGGCUGUUCGCCAUUUAAAGUGGUACGCGAGCUGGGUUUAGAACGUCGUGAGACAGUUCGGUCCCUAUCUGCCGUGGGCGCUGGAGAACUGAGGGGGGCUGCUCCUAGUACGAGAGGACCGGAGUGGACGCAUCACUGGUGUUCGGGUUGUCAUGCCAAUGGCACUGCCCGGUAGCUAAAUGCGGAAGAGAUAAGUGCUGAAAGCAUCUAAGCACGAAACUUGCCCCGAGAUGAGUUCUCCCUGAGACUUAAAGUCUCCUGAAGGAACGUUGAAGACGACGACGUUGAUAGGCCGGGUGUGUAAGCGCAGCGAUGCGUUGAGCUAACCGGUACUAAUGAACCGUGAGGCUUAACCUU
rnacentral:rRNA from 1 species